GAUCCUGGCUUAGGAUGAACGCUGGCGGCGUGCCUAAUACAUGCAAGUGAAACGGGUAUCUUCGGAUACCAGUCGCGGACGGGUGAGUAAUACAUAGGCAACCUGCCUUUAUGAGGGGGAUAACCGAGGGAAACUUUGGCUAAUACCGCAUGAAGACUCUAAGGCAUCUUAGAGGGAUAAAAGUUGGGAAACAACGCAUGAAGAUGGGCUUAUGGCGCAUUAGCUAGUUGGUGAGAUAGAAGCCCACCAAGGUAAUGAUGCGUAGCCGACCUGAGAGGGUGAACGGCCACAUUGGGACUGAGACACGGCCCAAACUCCUACGGGAGGCAGCAGUAGGGAAUUUUCGGUAAUGGGGGGAACCCUGACCGAGCAACGCCGCGUGAAAAGGAAGAAGGUUUUCGGAUUGUAAACUUCUGUUAUAAGGGAAGAACGGAUUGGAUAGGGAAUGAUCUGAUAGUGACGGUACCUUAUUAGAAAGCCACGGCUAACUACGUGCCAGCAGCGGC
rnacentral:rRNA from 1 species